rnacentral:rRNA from 1 species
GGGUCUCCGGGGGCAACGAUCAGCUGCUGCGCGCCCCCGGGCGUGCAGUCCACAGAUCAAACGCGGGUGGCCUGCGCCUGCAGGUUGAGAUAUGACCGUAGCAGCUCCGCCGGGAGCCCGGCACACUAGUUCCGUAGGUGAACCUGCGGAAGGAUCAUUA